CACGCCGUAAACGUUGAGAACUAAGUGUUGGGGAGACCCAGUGCUGAAGCUAACGCAUUAAGUUCUCCGCCUGAGGAGUACGCACGCAAGUGUAAAACUUAAAGGAAUUGACGGGGGCCCGCACAAGCAGUGGAGCAUGUGGUUUAAUUCGAAGCAACGCGAAGAACCUUACCAGGGCUUGACAUACUUUUGCAGGGUCUAGAGAUAGACCUGUUCUCUUUUGAGACGAAAGUACAGGUGG
rnacentral:rRNA from 1 species